UCGAAACCUGCCAAGCAGAAAACUUGCGAACUUGUCUUUUACAAUGGGGAAUGCGUGGGUUGGGCCUAGUCGUCUUUCCUUUUGCUUUCCCCUUGCGAGUGGAUGUGCGCGGAGCUUUUGGGCAAUGUGUUCCAUUUACUCGUCGAACAACGAACCCCGGCGCAAAAACGCGCCAAGGACAAUUGAACAAAGUUUGUGCACGUUCCCUGCCCGUUUUCGGGUGGUGUCGGCGUGCACAUCUUUCGAAUAACUAAACGACUCUCGGCAACGGAUAUCUCGGCUCUUGCAUCGAUGAAGAACGUAGCGAAAUGCGAUACUUGGUGUGAAUUGCAGAAUCCCGUGAACCAUCGAGUCUUUGAACGCAAGUUGCGCCUGAAGCCAUUAGGCUGAAGGCACGUCUGCCUGGGCGUCACGCAUUGCGUCGCCCACUCACCCCCGUGCCUCAGUGGGCGGGUACGUGCGUGGGCGGAUAUUGGCCCCCCGUUCACAUUCGUGCUCGGUCGGCCUAAAUACACAGUCCCCAAUGACGGACAUCACGACAAGUGGUGGUUGCCAAACCGUCGCGUCAUGUCGUGCGUGUUGCGUGGGCUGGCUCAU
rnacentral:rRNA from 1 species